rnacentral:lncRNA from 1 species
GGAGGCUUUUCAGAAUAAAAGUUAAAUCAUUUAUGUCGCACAAACAAAUUUACUAUUCGGACAAAUACGAUGACAAGGAGUUUGAGUAUCGACAUGUCAUGCUGCCCAAGGACAUAGCCAAGCUGGUCCCUAAAACCCAUCUGAUGUCUGAAUCUGAAUGGAGGAAUCUUGGCGUUCAGCAGAGUCAGGGAUGGGUCCAUUAUAUGAUCCAUGAACCAGAACCUCACAUCUUGCUGUUCCGGCGCCCACUACCCAAGAAACCAAAGAAAUGAAGCUGGCAAGCUACUUUUCAGCCUCAAGCUUUACACAGCUGUCCUUACUUUCUA